AUGGCUUACAUAUUCAAAAGGUUGGAUUUGGGAAGCAAUGCUAAGCAGUGGAAUGGACAUCGACAUAGAGAGAUCAGCUCCACACUUAUACUCUGCCACUCAACUUCCCCAUGUGACUUGAGGAUCACUCUAACUCCAAAACAUAGCAAGCUCGCGGAACAUCAGGGUUCAUGCAAAGUAUUCCAAGGAGCCCCUUGAAGCAACAGAAUGGAUUGCUCUUCUAUGGUGGAAUGGCACCCUGGAUGAUUAAAACCGUAGCAGCAAACAAAACCUCCAUCAAGUAAGAAUUCAGAGUGUGAGAUAUCACGCACAGCCACGCGUGGAUCUUUAUAUACGUGUCAAUGUGUUUGAUUGUAUUUUUGCUUUCAAAGUAUGUAUUGAGCAUUUCUUCUAGGUCCUCAGUAACAUCUUUUUAAAAAAAAAAUAAAUGCUUAGGGAAUUGUUUUAUAUUAAA
rnacentral:lncRNA from 10 species